rnacentral:rRNA from 1 species
AGUGAACGCUGGCGGUAGGCCUAACACAUGCCAGUCGAACGGCAGCACAGUAAGAGCUUGCUCUUACGGGUGGCGAGUGGCGGACGGGUGAGGAAUACAUCGGAAUCUACUUUUUCGUGGGGGAUAACGUAGGGAAACUUACGCUAAUACCGCAUACGACCUACGGGUGAAAGCAUGGGAUCUUCGGACCUUGCGCGAUUGAAUGAGCCGAUGUCGGAUUAGCUAGUUGGCGGGGUAAAGGCCCACCAAGGCGACGAUCCGUAGCUGGUCUGAGAGGAUGAUCAGCCACACUGGAGCUGAGACACGGCCCAGACUCCUACGGGAGGCAGCAGUGGGGAAUAUUGGACAAUGGGCGCAAGCCUGAUCCAGCCAUACCGCGUGGGUGAAGAAGGCCUUCGGGUUGUAAAGCCCUUUUGUUGGGAAAGAAAAGCAGCAGGUUAAUACCCCGCUGUUCUGACGGUACCCAAAGAAUAAGCACCGGCUAACUUCGUG